CAAACUCCUGCAGUCAAGCAAUCACUUGGCCUCAGCCUCUCAAGUCCAGAUGUAUAAUCUCAUCCCUGAACAUGUCUGACGGUGUGAUUAUGACAUAUGACUUUACCCGGCAACAGAGUAAGUUGAUGCUCCCUCCUGAGCCCAGCCCACAGAAAGGAUUGUGACAUAUCGCUGGACCCAGAAUUGAGGUGAUGUAACUAUUCCACUGCCCUGGCACUGCCCACAGAAGACAUUGUGACAUAUCGCUGGGUCUUGUACCCAGGUGGUGUGAAUCUUCUCUCCAGCCUUGGCUCUUCCACAGGGGGUAUUGUGUCAUAUCGCUGGGCUCCACAUGUAGGUUAUGUGACUCUUUUGCCUGUGCCCUGCCCAUGUGGCCCAUUGUGACAUAUUGCUGGGUCCAAAACCCAGGUGAUAUAACUCUACUGCUUAGGCCCUGCCCACAGAGGACAUUGUGACAUAUCCCUGCAUCCAUCACACAGGUUUUUGCCCACAGGGGAUAUUGUGACAUGUCACUGGGCCUAACACUAAGGUGACAUUACUCUUUUGUCAUGGCACUGCCCUCAGAAGGCGUGGUGAUGUAUUACUGGGCCCAGAACAAAUGUAAUAUGAGUCUCCUGCCUGGACCCUGCCUACAAGGUGCAUUGUAACAUAC